UACGGGGGGGGCAAGCGUUGUUCGGAAUUACUGGGCGUAAAGGGCUCGUAGGCGGCCAACUAAGUCUGAUGUGAAAGCCCGGGGCUCACCCCCGGAAGUGCAUUGGAAACUGGUGGACUCGAGUCCCGGAGAGGAGAGUGGAAUUCCUGGUGUAGCGGUGAAAUGCGUAGAUAUCAGGAGGAACACCGGUGGCGAAGGCGGCUCUCUGGACGGUGACUGACGCUGAGACGCGAAAGCGUGGGGAGCAAACAGG
rnacentral:rRNA from 1 species